UGAGGAAUAUUGGUCAAUGGGCGAGAGCCUGAACCAGCCAAGUAGCGUGCAGGAUGACGGCCCUAUGGGUUGUAAACUGCUUUUAUAUGGGAAUAAAGUGAGGGACGUGUCCCUUAUUGCAUGUACCAUACGAAUAAGGACCGGCUAAUUCCGUGCCAGCAGCCGCGGUAAUACGGAAGGUCCAGGCGUUAUCCGGAUUUAUUGGGUUUAAAGGGAGCGUAGGCCGUUUGGUAAGCGUGUUGUGAAAUGUAGGAGCUCAACUUCUAGAUUGCAGCGCGAACUGUCAGACUUGAGUGCGCACAACGUAGGCGGAAUUCAUGGUGUAGCGGUGAAAUGCUUAGAUAUCAUGAAGAACUCCGAUUGCGAAUGCAGCUUACGGGAGCGCAACUGACGCUGAAGCUCGAAGGUGCGGGUAUCGAACAGG
rnacentral:rRNA from 1 species